rnacentral:rRNA from 1 species
UACAGAGGGUGCGAGCGUUAAUCGGAAUUACUGGGCGUAAAGCGCACGUAGUCGGCUUUGCAAGUCGGUUGUGAAAUCCCCGGGCUCAACCUGGGAACUGCAUCCGAGACUGCAUUGCUAGAGUAUGGGAGAGGAAAGCGGAAUUCCUGGUGUAGCAGUGAAAUGCGUAGAUAUCAGGAGGAACACCGGUGGCGAAGGCGGCUUCCUGGACAAAAACUGACGCUGAGGCGCGAAAGCUAGGGGAGCAAACAGG